UUGCUUUAGCAGCACAUAUACUAAAAUUAGAAUGAUACAGAGAAGAUGAGAAUGGCCCCUGCACAAGGAUGGCACACAAAUUCUUGAAGUGUUCCAUAUUUUU
ensembl:snRNA U6 U6 spliceosomal RNA